GAUAAAUAGAAAGCGUGCAUGGUGAAUGCCUUGGCAAUCAGAGACGAUGAAGGACGUGCUAAUCUGCGAAAAUCAUUAGUAAGCUGAUAAGAAGCGAUAUAGCUAAUGGUAUCCGAAUGGGGAAACCUAACACUUACGUGUUAUCGUUUAAUGAAUAUAUAGUUAAACGAAGUAAACCGAGAGAAUUGAAACAUCUUAGUAACUCGAGGAAAAGAAAUCAAAAUGAGAUUCCCAUAGUAGCGGCGAGCGAAAAGGGAACAGCCCAAAGUUUAAAAACAAUAAAAGAUUUUAAAAAAUAGAUCUGGAAAGACUAGCGAAAAAGGUGAUAGCCCAGUAUUUAAAAACUUUAUUUGUAGAAACUUGAUGAGUAGAACGAGACACGUGUUAUCUUGUUUGAAUAUAGGGGGACCAUCCUCUAAGGCUAAAUACUACUGAUUGACCGAUAGUGAACUAGUACCGUGAGGGAAAGGUGAAAAGAACCCCUGUUAGGGGAGUGAAAUAGAACCUGAAACCAUGUACGUACAAGCAGUAGGAGCUUUAAGUAAAAGAAGAUUUCUUUGAAAGAAGUGACUGCGUACCUUUUGUAUAAUGGGUCAGCGACUUAUAUUCUGUAGCAAGGUUAACUUUUUUAGGGAGCCGCAGGGAAACCGAGUCUUAACAGGGCGAGUCAGUUGCAGGAUAUAGACCCGAAACCCGGUGAUCUAGCCAUGAGCAGGCUGAAGAUUAAGUAAAUCUAAUUGGAGGGCCGAACCGACUAAUGUUGAAAAAUUAGCGGAUGACUUGUGGUUAGGGGUGAAAGGCCAAUCAAACCGGGAGAUAGCUGGUUCUCCUCGAAAGCUAUUUAGGUAGCGCCUCAUGUUUUCAUCUUCGGGGGUAGAGCACUGUUUCUGAUUAGGAAAUCUUGUGGUUUCCUAUUCUGAUGCAAACUACGAAUACCGAAGAAUGUGAUCAUGGGAGACACACGGCGGGUGCUAAUGUCCGUCGUGGAAAGGGAAACAACCCAGAUCAUCAGCUAAGGUCCCAAAAUUGUAAUUAAGUGGAAAACGAAGUGGAAGGGCAAAAACAGCCAGGAUGUUGGCUUAGAAGCAGCCAUCAUUUAAAGAAAGCGUAACAGCUCACUGGUCUAGUCAAUCUGCGCGGAAGAUGUAUCGGGGCUUAAAUUACAUACCGAAGCUAUGACAGUAGUUACGUAAUUAUAACUACUGGGUAGAGGAGCGUUCUGUACGCCGUUGAAGAUAAAUUGAAAGAUUUGUUGGAGGUAUCAGAAGUGCGAAUGCUGACAUGAGUAACGAUAAAGUAGGUGAAAAACCUACUCGCCGAAAAACUAAGGUUUCCUGUCCAAUGGUAAUCAAGGCAGGGUUAGUCGAUCCCUAAGGCGAGGCUGAAAAGCGUAGUCGAUGGAAUACGGGUUAAUAUUCCCGUACUAAUGUUAAUCAGUGAUGGGGAGACGAAAUUGGUUAGACAAUCCGGGUGACGGAUAUUCCCGGUUUAAACAUGUAGAUAGAUCGAUCAGGAAAAUCCGAUUGAUCUUAGAUAUCGAGAUGUGAACACGAGUCAUUAACUUGACGAAGUUUGUUGAUUACCAGUUUCCAAGAAAACCCUCUAAACGUAAUGAUUAACUUUAAUCGUACCACAAACCGACACAGGUAGUUGGGUAGAGAAUACUAAGGCGCUUGAGAGAACUCAGGUGAAGGAACUAGGCAAAAUAGUGCCGUAACUUAGGGAGAAGGUACGCUGAAAUUAGGUGAAAAGCUUUUCGCUUAUAGCUGAAAUCAGUCUAAGAUACAAGCUGGCUGCAACUGUUUAUUAAAAACACAGCACUGUGCAAACACGAAAGUGGACGUAUACAGUGUGAAGCCUGCCCGGUGCUGGAAGGUUAAUUGAUAGUGUUAACUAAUUUUAGUAAAGCUCUUGAUUGAAGCCCCAGUGAACGGCGGCCGUAACUAUAACGGUCCUAAGGUAGCGAAAUUCCUUGUCGGGUAAGUUCCGACCUGCACGAAUGGCAUAAUGAUGGCCAGACUGUCUCCACCUGAGACUCAGUGAAAUUGAAAUUGCUGUGAAGAUGCAGUGUACCCGCGGCAAGACGGAAAGACCCCGUGAACCUUUACUAUAGCUUGAUAUUGAAUAUAAGAUAUGGAUGUGUAGAAUAGGUGGGAGGCUGAGAAAUAUGGUCGCAAGUCCAUAUGGAGCCGUCGUUGAAAUACCACCCUUUUAUGUUUUAUAUUCUAACUCAAAUCCGUUAUCCGGAUUGAGGACAUUUUCUGGUGGGUAGUUUGACUGGGGUGGUCUCCUCCUAAAAUGUAACGGAGGAGUACAAAGGUUGGCUAAUUACGGUUGGAAAUCGUAAGGUUAGUGCAAAGGCAUAAGCCAGCUUAACUGCGAGCGAUACAACGCGAGCAGAUACGAAAGUAGGUCUUAGUGAUCCGGUGGUUCCGAAUGGAAGGGCCAUCGCUCAACGGAUAAAAGGUACUCCGGGGAUAACAGGCUAAUACCGCCCAAGAGCUCAUAUCGACGGCGGUGUUUGGCACCUCGAUGUCGGCUCAUCACAUCCUGGGGCUGAAGCAGGUCCCAAGGGUAUGGCUGUUCGCCAUUUAAAGUGGUACGCGAGCUGGGUUUAGAACGUCGUGAGACAGUUCGGUCCCUAUCUGUCGUGGGCGUAGGAAGAUUGAGAAGAGCUGCUCCUAGUACGAGAGGAUCGGAGUGGACAUACCAAUUGUGUUCAGGUUGUCAUGCCAAUGGCAUUGCCUGGUAGCUACGUAUGGAACAGAUAACCGCUGAAAGCAUCUAAGCGGGAAGCUUACUUCAAGAUUAAUCUUCCCUAACCUUUUAUGGUUGUAAGGGACGUUCUAGAUCAGGACGUUGAUAGGCCAGAUGUGCAAGCAUAGCGAUAUGUUUAGCUUACUGGUACUAAUUUACCCGAGAGUUUAUCUUAUA
rnacentral:rRNA from 1 species